rnacentral:lncRNA from 1 species
AAAGCCCUCGACGUUGGAGAGGACCGGAGGACGAGUCCUCGGGCGGCGGCGGCGAUGAGGGCGGUGAGAGGCGAAGUGGCCUCGUCGAAGCCGGUGUCCCUGACCAAGGCCGCGCGCGUUUUCAGCCUCUUCGCCGCCUCCGGCGAGUCCGGGCUUCCCUCCGACGACAGCGCGUUGUUGCUCUGCGCGGCCGAGGCCGCUCUGGAGCUCCAUGCUUUCCGCCGCCACGGUGGGGCGAGCGGGCAGAGCGAAGAGGAGCGGCCUAGGAAGAGGAAGAACGAGGCGUGCAGCGCAGCCAGUCGCAACUCGCAACGUGGGAUUGGAACUGUAGGUCUGUAGCCAAGCUGAAACAGCCGCGAGCUCCCCUCUGUAGCAGACGAGCAGUGGAUCUGUUUGUUUCCCUUUGCUAUGUUCUUUUAUUUGCUCAAAAGAGUUUAGCUCUAGUGUGUUCUUGCUUCUGUAACGCUGUGUGGACUGAAAGAUUCAGGUUUUGUUCAAUGAAAUCGCUGAAAUUGCACCUCGUUUUGUUCUUGGUUCUGUAACGUACUAACGUUGCGUCGGCUCAAAUAUU